rnacentral:rRNA from 1 species
AGAGUUUGAUCAUGGCUCAGAUUGAACGCUGGCGGCAGGCUUAACACAUGCAAGUCGAACGAUGACUCUCUAGCUUGCUAGAGAUGAUUAGUGGCGGACGGGUGAGUAACAUUUAGGAAUCUACCUAGUAGUGGGGGAUAGCUCGGGGAAACUCGAAUUAAUACCGCAUACGACCUACGGGUGAAAGGGGGCGCAAGCUCUUGCUAUUAGAUGAGCCUAAAUCAGAUUAGCUAGUUGGUGGGGUAAAGGCCCACCAAGGCGACGAUCUGUAACUGGUCUGAGAGGAUGAUCAGUCACACCGGAACUGAGACACGGUCCGGACUCCUACGGGAGGCAGC